rnacentral:rRNA from 1 species
CACGUAGGGCGCAAGCGUUGUCCGGAAUUAUUGGGCGUAAAGAGCUUGUAGGCGGUCUGUCGCGUCUGCUGUGAAAAUCCGGGGCUCAACCCCGGACUUGCAGUGGGUACGGGCAGACUAGAGUGUGGUAGGGGGGACUGGAAUUCCUGGUGUAGCGGUGAAAUGCGCAGAUAUCAGGAGGAACUCCGAUGGCGAAGGCAGGUCUCUGGGCCACUACUGACGCUGAGAAGCGAAAGCAUGGGGAGCGAACAGG